ensembl:lncRNA
GUGUGGUUACUAUGUGCCCUCAACAACUGGUCCAGGGCCAUUUCUUCAGUUUGCUUCACAUGGCCACCAUUAGGAACUAGGUAAAGACGUGUAUGAUUCAGGUGAACAGGGGGAGAUCCACCCACACUGCCCCCCCUGUGACUUUAUUUGCGCUAACAGAACACACCACCACACCAAAUCACUGAGGAAACACAGCAUAUGGUUAGGGUACAGGAUCUGUUUUAAGGGACGGGUGUGGUUUCUUUUCCAGAAGUAUUUUGCAUUUUCAUGUGAUUAGGGGUUAGUGGUGUGAAAGAUGAUUGGUUAAAAAAGGAACAUGAGGCUUCGGAACCCAAAGGUAUAGGAUUUCUUGACCGGAUCUGUUGUAUAAACGAAUCAGAGAUUUCCAAAUCUUUGACAGAACUGCAGCUGUGAAUAAUGAACAGCAUGUUAUAUCAAAAUUUGAUUGAUUGAUUGAUUUUUUUGAUAUAUGAAUGGCACAUUGUAUUGUUGGGUUUAGAAGCCUUUGUUUUCUGUUUCUUCAGUCAUGCAAUGCUGUACAUGUAGGUUCUGCUGGGCUGUCAUUAGCUGCAGUGACUGAGGAUGGCCACCGUGUGGCGGCAACAACUGACACAAAAUGGCUUGAUCCAUCCCGGGAUGAAGAAUUGGCUGCAAAUCACUUUUUUUGCAUUUUUCUUCUUUUGGAAACUACGUAGGCAACAGCUAAAUGCAACUUGUAAUUUAUUGAUGUUCUAGAUGCUUUUGGUCUCUCUUGAUAUUUCUGAAAGUGACAGAAAAGGGUUUGUUAGUGAUUCAUUAAUGAUUACUUAAAGGUUGGUCAAUGAAGCUGCUUGUCUGAGCAAAGUGUCUAUUUAAUGCCACUAGCAGCAGGUUGUAGCUGAGCCAGCAGACAUGAUGGUGUUAGUUACUAACAGUGAGAUUCAAACUUUAUAGGAAAAGUAAAGCAUUUUAGAAAUGAUUCUUUGAGAUAGGACGUUUUGUGUGGUGUACUUGUUUGAACAGGACCCACCCUAAUUUGACAAGAAAAAAACAAUGUAUAUGUCAAUAUAUACUACCUUUAUAGAUAUCAAGAUUAUAUUUGGCUAAAUGGGACAUUUUACAAUAUAUUGAACUAUUCUAAACAUUAUAGUGUGUACAGUAUAUGUUGACAUAUAUUUUUUCAUGGGUCUGGAAUAAUUAGAGAAUACCUUUGUGAAGUGAUGGGUUAAUGAAGUGAGGAUUUAAAGAAUGUUAUUAAGAGGGCUUGUUGGUGUGAGGGUGAGGAAAUAGGAAAGGAAAAAGAGAGAUAGAGCGAGGGCUGGUGGCCCACAUACCCUCUGUCUGGAGACAACAUUUGCUGCUAUGUACUUCUGUUGUGUCCUGCUGUGUUCUUGGUAGAGACAGAAAGACAGUGUACUUGGAUGUAAAUAUAAUUGUUAUUUAUUACGUGUACAUAUAUAUUCAAAUAUAUCAAGCUAUUGAGUGUGAAUACUUUAAGAGGAUUAUUGUGAAUUAAUGAGACAGACAUUUCCGCUUUUAUUUUUUAAACUAUUUCAAUAUAAAUAUAUAAAUAUAUACAUAUAUGAAAUCUUUUUAAUUUUGU